GUUUCUCUUGAUACUGGGAAACAAGGAGAGAAGAAGGAAAAAAAGUCUUCACAUCCAGAUGCUCUUAAAGACACGGGAGAAGCACCGGGAUAGUGGUGCAUUUAUUUUUAAGGAGGUCUGUCUGGGUGGAUAUGAAAAGCCAAUCAAGGAAAGACUGUCUCAAUCCUGACUUGACACAGGUCCUGGUCAGCGGUUGUCACUAUUGGCCAGAGAGUUAUGGAGCUACUGCUGACAAUGCUCAGAAACUGAUAUCCACCAAGAUGCCACAAUUCCUCUUAACUGUCUACAGUACACACCAUCAGAUCUUAGAAUGAGGAAUACACAUGUUUAAAUCUCCUGGCUACAUCUCUCUUAUUUAUUUUAACACAUUAAUAUUUCACUCAACCCCACAAUUCUAGAUAGCUUUCACACUUUUAACAGGAGUAAAAUUCAGCCUCACAAAACUAUAAACCCAGCCAACUGUAAAAAAUUUAAACAUCCUAUGCAUAUCUACAACAAAGAGGGAAAGUCAGCUCCCAAAAACGCUGGGUGGCUUACAGUUAAAAUUAUUGGUACUAUUAAAUGAAUGAAUACUUGAAAUAUUUAAUUUACUUAAAAUAACCAAGGCAUGUACUUUGGAACUACAUCUCCCCUUUCCUUGAAUGUCCCUUCUUUACAUUCUUGUCCUAUGAAUUUUAAUCCUUAAACUUCUAACAUUUGUUCUAUACUCUGAAAUCAAGAUCUGCAGGAUUGUUGUGCCAGAAACCACAAUAAAACUAUCUCACUGAAAGAGGUCGAUGUUGUGCUUCAAGCAACAGAUGGUGAGAACUGAUGUGCAAAAAUAUUUUCUUAGGAAUUCUCUCGGCAGUGUAGGACUUGGGGUCAUAAGGAGAAGAGAAUAUUGUUCCUGAAGAAAAUAUUUGAAUGAGAUCCAACAAGCAAGUAUUGUGUUUGCUUAGAUACUCGGGCAAAGAUCAAACACUUGCAUAACAAGAUGACCCAUGGCCUUCUGAAGGCAAAAGAGAACAGAGAUAGAUGGAGUUGGAAUACAAAAAUACCCUUCCUUGAUACUGGUGCUUGUUUGAACCAAACUCAUGCCAGGUAGUUGUGUCACAAUGUUGUUAUUUGCAGCACUUCCGAGCUGCUUGCUUCAUGUUACAUAUUCUGUUAUGGUGAUAUAGGACAGAUAAAUUGCCUCUUCUUGGGCAUUUUGAUCAAUAGUUUGUGGACUCUAUCUAUCUAUCUAUCUAUCUACCUACCUACCUACCUAUUUAUCAUCUAAUAUAUAUGGCUGCUCAACUCACACAGGUGACUAGCAGCAAUAAAAUAUCAUAAUGUAAGAAGCCACCCACCCACCUUUGUUAUUUCAUUUAUAUGGCCACCUAUCUCAAAUUCAUAACUCUGGGUAGCUAACAAUAUAGUAGUCCUCCUUUUUUGUGACUGACUUGUUUAGCAACCUUUCACACUUGCAACGGUGAUGAAAAAAAUACCUUUGCAACCAAUCAUUGCAUUUACAAACUUUGCAGAUCUAUAAGCAAAAAAAAAAAAAAAAA